AUUGGUCAGCUGUUUGAAUCUAUUUGUUGAUACAAAAUAAUUUUGAGGAAUUUACAAGGAGGGUUUAAUAUUAUUAAAUUAUCUUGGAUAAUAAUGGUACGUGAUUAGUUUAAUAUUGCGAGGUACUUUUUUAAUCAUGGUGCUUCAAAAUACUGGAAAAUACCGACCCGAUAAAGAUGAUUCUGUUAGAAGAGAAGGAACUUCUUCAGGUGGGCUCAAGGAAGAGUCAUCGGAAACUAGAAUUCGUGCCGCUCUGGAGAAUGACAGAAUUGACUCAAAGUAUGGUUUCGAUCGAGUGAGAGAUUUAAAAGAAAGGACUGGCUACUUGAUCAAUAUGCACACGGCUGAGGUACUCGAUGAAGACAAACGAUUAGUUGCUGCCAUGGAUUACUAUUUCAUAGAGAUGGACGGUACCAGAUUCAAAAUUUCAUUAAUGUUUCAACCAUAUUUUCUAAUAAUGGCCAGAAGAGAAUGUGAACAGGAAGUUAUACAAUACAUCUCUAAGAAGUUUGCUAGUUCAGUGCAAAAGAUUGAAGUAUUGGAGAAGGAAGAUUUGGACUUGAUGAACCACUUAUCAGGUCUGAAACAGCGUUACAUAAAAUUAUCAUUUAUGUCUCAAAAUGAUAUGAUGAAAGUCCGACGGGAGAUCUUGACGGCAGUUAAUAAAAAUAAAGAGCGGGAAAAGAAAGAUGUCAUUUAUGCUGAAAUGUUAACUAAUGCAUUAACCAGUGCAGCGGCUAUCGAACACGCUAAGAAAACUACUGACCACAUGGAAAAUAUUUUGGACAUCCGGGAACACGAUGUGCCAUAUCAUGUAAGAGUCUCUAUAGACAUGAGAAUAUUCUGUGGCACAUGGUACACUGUGAAAUGCAGAGGUACUGACCCUCCUAUUUUCACAAAACGAGAUGACAUCAUAGAGAGACCAGAUCCUAUAGUACUGGCCUUUGAUAUAGAAACUACAAAAUUACCAUUGAAGUUUCCAGACUCGCAAACAGAUCAAAUAAUGAUGAUCUCUUACAUGAUCGAUGCACAGGGAUACUUAAUAACAAACAGAGAAAUUAUAUCGGUCGACGUUGAAGACUUUGAAUAUACUCCUAAACCGGAAUUUGAAGGCCAAUUCAUUGUAUUUAAUGAACCAAAUGAGCUGGCACUUAUACAGAAGUUUUUCGAUCAUAUCAUGGAUGUGAAACCACACAUCUUUGUCACAUAUAACGGUGAUUUCUUCGAUUGGCCUUUUGUGGAAGCUCGUGCCGCGAUACUAGGGCUGGACAUGAAGCAGGAGAUAGGGUUCAGUAAGGUGACGUCACGCGACAACACGUACGUCUGCAGACCUGCGAUGCACAUGGACUGCUUAUGUUGGGUGAAAAGAGACUCGUAUCUGCCGGUCGGCUCGCAGGGCCUGAAGGCGGUCGCUAAAGCCAAGCUGAGGUACGACCCCGUCGAGCUGGACCCUGAAGAUAUGUGCAGGAUGGCGUCCGAACAGCCUCAGGUGCUGUCGAACUACUCGGUGUCGGACGCGGUCGCCACGUACUACUUGUACAUGAAGUACGUGCAUCCGUUCAUUUUUGCCCUCUGCACUAUUAUCCCGCUGGAGCCCGACGAGGUACUCCGAAAGGGUUCCGGUACGCUGUGCGAGUCGUUACUGAUGGUCGAGGCGUUCCACGCGAACAUCGUGUUCCCGAACAAGCAGGUGGAGGAGCUGAACAAGCUGACGAGCGACGGCCACGUGCUGGAGACGGAGACUUACGUCGGGGGACACGUCGAGGCUCUGGAGUCCGGUGUAUUCAGAGCGGACAUUAAAUGCAAGUUCCGUAUCGCCCCAACGGCCGUGGACAAGCUGCUGGAGAACACCGAGAAGACCAUGAGGCACGCCAUAGAGGUGGAGGAAGGUAUACCGCUGGAUAUGGUCACGAAUUUCGACGAGGUCUGCGGAGAGAUUAAAGCGAAACUACAACACAUGAAAGAGCACCCGCGAAGGGACGAGAACCCUUUGAUUUAUCAUUUGGACGUCGGCGCUAUGUACCCUAACAUCAUAUUGACGAAUAGAUUGCAGCCCUCUGCGAUGGUGAAUGCCAGUACAUGCGCAGUCUGUGAUUACAACAAGCCCGGGGCCACUUGCCAGAGACACAUGGAGUGGAUGUGGCGCGGAGAUUACUUACCGGCUACGAGGAGCGAGUACCAACGUAUACAACAGCAGCUGGAAACUGAAAAGUUUCCACCUCUACAUCCUGGGGGCCCACCCAGGCCCUUCCACGCACUGCCGAAAGAGGAACAGGCUGCCUACGAGAAGAAACGAUUAGCGGAUUACUGCAAGGUCGCGUAUAAGAAAACCAAAGUUACUAGAAGUGAAAUAAGAACAACUACAAUAUGCCAGAAGGAAAACUCUUUCUAUGUGGAUACUGUACGUGCGUUCAGAGAUCGUCGUUACGAGUACAAAGCUCUGAACAAGCAAGCGAAAGCGAAGGUCUCCGAGGCGGUUGCUAGCGGAGACGCGGCGGAGAUCAAAUCCGCCAAAAGCAGAGAAGUUUUGUACGAUUCACUGCAAUUGGCACAUAAAUGUAUUCUCAAUUCUUUCUAUGGCUACGUCAUGAGGAGAGGUGCUCGAUGGCACAGUAUGGAGAUGGCGGGCAUCGUGUGCUACACGGGCGCCAACAUCAUCAUGCGAGCUCGGGAGAUCAUCGAACAAGUUGGCAGACCGCUCGAGUUGGAUACUGACGGUAUCUGGUGCAUAUUACCGUCAUCGUUUCCAGAAAACGUGACCAUCCACACGAAUCAUCCGAAGAAAAAGAAGAUUAAUGUUUCCUUCCCUAACGCUGUACUCAAUGCCAUGGUUAAGGAUCAUUUUACAAACGACCAGUACUUCGAACUCGUGGAUCCGGAACAGAAGAGAUACGAGCAGCGCUCGGAAAACUCGAUAUUCUUUGAAGUGGACGGCCCUUACUUGGCCAUGGUGUUGCCGGCUUCGAAAGAAGAAGGCAAAAGGUUGAAGAAGCGUUAUGCCGUCUUCAAUUUUGACGGGUCAUUAGCUGAAUUAAAAGGUUUCGAAGUAAAACGUCGCGGCGAACUGCAACUCAUCAAAAUAUUUCAGUCGUCUGUAUUCGAGGCCUUCCUUAAAGGGAACGAUCUGAAGUCGUGCUACGGCGCCGUGGCCCGGGUCGCGGACUACUGGCUGGACGUGCUGUACAGCCGGGGCUCCAACAUGCCCGACGCCGAACUCUUCGAGUUGAUAUCGGAGAACCGUUCCAUGUCCAAGAAGCUGGAGGAUUACGGCGGACAGAAGUCUACGUCGAUAUCGACCGCCAAGAGACUGGCCGAGUUCCUCGGUGAUCAGAUGGUCAAGGACGCCGGCUUGGCUUGCAGAUUUAUAAUAUCUAAGAAGCCCGAGGGUGCUCCGGUGACGGAACGAGCGAUUCCGCUCGCCAUCUUCCAGUCGCCGGCCGCCGUGAAGCGGCACCACCUGCGGCGCUGGCUCAAGGACUCCAGCGUCUCCGAGCACAUCGACAUCCGCGACGUGCUGGACUGGGCCUACUACAUCGAGAGGCUCAGCGGGGCCAUACAGAAGAUCAUCACCAUACCGGCCGCCAUGCAAGGCUUGGACAAUCCAGUGCCCCGGGUACAGUACCCGGAUUGGUUGCACAAGAAGAUGCUCGCCAAAACGGAUAAAUACAAAACGAGGAAGAUCACGGAUAUGUUCAGCGCGCAGCCCAGGGAACUACGCGCUGUGGAGGAAGACGCGGAGGAAUCCGCUGGUGCUGAUACCUCGAACACGGAAGUGGACAUGGAAGACAUUGGCAAUGACAAGACAGGGAGGGCUACAAUAAUUCGUCCGGUAGUGCACACCAUGAAGAGGAAGCGGACUGAAUCUCCGCCUCAAGACGCCGCCGCCACGUGGAGAGAGGCGCUGGGACCUCCGCCGCCUUUCGGAAACUCUAAGGAAGAACGAAGAAAUUGGAUUUUGUUUCAAAAAAGAAAAUGGCUGUGGCAAAUGGAGCAACGUGGCUUAAGAAAUCGAAACAAACGAGGUAAAAUUGACAGUGACAUAAUGCCGCCGCCGAGGAGUUCCGGGCCGGCCGCCACGUUAGGUAGUUUCAUCAGGAGAGCACAGCGCACCUUGUUGAAUACACCAUGGCAAAUUAUACAGGUAGCGGAAACAGCCGAGCCGGGUCUGUUCAAGGUGUGGGCGCUGGUGGGCGCCGAGCUGCACCAGGUGAAGGUGUCGGUGCCGCGCGUGUUCUACGUGAACCAGCGCGUGUGCCGCGGCGCCGACAGCGGCCGCUACUGGCGCCGCUGCAGCCGCCUGCUGCCCCGCGCGCACCCCGUGCUGCACCUCUACCAGUACUCCGUGCCCGAACAGCUCUACAGGGAACAUCAGGAAGAGCUCAUGGGUGAAUUAUCGGCCCCGGAAAUAGAAGGUAUUUACGAGACACAGAUGAGCUUAGAGUUCAGGAUCCUGGUACAACUCGGAUGCAUCUGCGCUGUGGAGCCGCAGGAGGCGAGACGAAUGAUACAGUUCGGUUCAAACAAUAUGGAUUCGUUUACGUUGAAUCAACUACAGUUCAAGAGUGUCGCACAUCAACCUUACUUACCGAAACAGGAUGGACAGUUUCCGAUAAAACACAUAUUCCUGUACCAGCAUUCGUCUGCGAAUUCCAGUCGCAGUAUGUGGGCAUUGAUACUGGGUCCUCUGAAAAAAGGAUAUAUUUUCGUACAGGACACGGUCAAGACUAAUCAAGUACCCAACAUGAGCACCCUUUACGCAGCUGAAAGGACAGCUAAAAUAAAUCAAGGGACAGAUGAGAGCACGCUGCCGGGCCCCGAGCUGUCGUGGGAGGUGGUGGUGGAGAGCUCGACGCGCGCGCUGUGCCGCGGGCUGCAGGCGGCGCUGGGCCGGGGCCGCACGGAGCGCGCGGGGCCGGCGCUGCUGGCCGUGCAGGCCACACUCUCGCUGCCCGCCCUCACCGCGCUCAUGCCCGGUCUGGUUGACUACCCGAUAGUGCCGCUGCACGUCCGCGACGUGGAGACCCUGUUCAACACGUUGGAGUGGCAGAGGAUAGGCGCGAGGGCCAUCGUCAGGCACUACCUCAACUUGGAGUCGGUGCUGGCGCUCACCAUCGAGCAGUGCAGAUAUUUCCACGUGCCGCUGGGCAACAUGCCGGCGGACCCGACGCUGUUCGGCGCGGACCUGUUCUACGCCCGCCACCUCGUCAAGCACAACUUCGUGCUCUGGUGCUCCAACCUCGAACGUCCGGACCUCGGAGGGAGAGAGAUCGACGAUAACAGACUGGCGAGCGAGGCGGAGGAGGGCGGGGCGUGGAGCGGCGGCGCGGGCGGCGCGCACGGCGGCGUGUGCGUGGAGCUGGGGCUGGACGCGCUCAGCGUGUGCGCGCUGCUGCAGGCGCACCUCGUGCUGCAGGCGGAGGGCACCAGCGCAGCCACCGCCUUCGGGCACGCGCCCACCAGUCUACAGCACCUGCUCGACAACACCGGUCCGAACGCGUCCCUGAACUACGACGAGGCGGCUCAGUGCAGCGCCGCCUUCAAGAUCCUGAGGACGAUGGUCGCGUCCUGGCUCCGUGACGUCACGCAAUACAAAAACGUCUUCGCAGACUUCCAAAUAACGCACUUCUACAGGUGGUUAAAAACGCCGACGUCUCUGCUGUACGACCCGGCGCUUCGGCGCACGCUGUACAACCUGAUGAAGAAGCUGUUCCUGAUGCUGCUGGCGGAGUUCAGGCGGCUGGGCUCGGUGCUCGUGCACGCCGACUUCAACAAGAUCCUGCUCAGCACUAAGAAGACUUCGGUCGUCGACGGAAUAGGAUACGUAGAAUUCGUGGUGCAGAGCAUAAGGAAUAAGGAACUGUUCCACGGCAUCGAUAUUAGGUACCGGCAGUGCUGGGUGCAUCUGCUGUGGCUCGACGAGGCCAACUAUGCGGGGAUACAGGGUAAACUUCCGGAAGGCUUAACUGAAGUGGGAUCUUCUCAAGUUCCUCCGAGCAACAACGAGGAUGGCGACACUGAUGAGGAGAGUUCGAUAGUGAUGCACUGGAACCUGGCCAAGUUCCUGCCGGGCUUCGUCCGGGAGCAGUUCGUGUCCGCCGUGGCCGGGUACCUGGCCGCCGCCCGCACGCGCCCCGCCGACCUGCCCGCCCUGCUGCGCGGCGAGAUCUCGCAGAAACUGUUCCGAGUAACGGAGAAGAUAAACACGCGGAUGCCGACGCUCCGGCUGUCGGACAUCGGGCCGCAGCCCGGCCUCAAGGCGGACGCGCUCAGUGACGUCACGCCCGCCCUGCUCUUCGUCAACGCCGUCUGUAAAGUGUUCUCUCUCGAUCCGACCUUAGACGAAGAGCAGCGCGGCGGAGUGGCGCGAGCCGUGCGCCGCGUGCGUGCUGACCGAGCUCACGUGCCGCGUGUGCAACCACUGCCGCGACCUCGACCUGUGCAGGGACGCGCGAGACGACACGGAACGUCCGGCGUGUUUAUGUCCAACAUGUGGAACAGCAUAUGAUAAUCAGGAAAUAGAAUGGCGACUAAUCGAGACGAUGAACAAACGUACGAUGGCGUAUACGCUGCAAGAUCUUAUAUGUAGCCGAUGUCACCAGGUAAAACGUGAGAAUUUGUCUGUGGUCUGUGAUUGUGCUGGAGAUUUUUCGCUGAUGGUUCCCGUAACAGAGAUCAAAGACCAACUAAUGACUUUUAAGACAAUAGCCGA
rnacentral:misc_RNA from 1 species